CUUUUCCUUUCGAACUUUAAAAUGCGUUUGUUUGGGAAAGAUUUCCACACCAACCAACGUGGGAUAUCACAGAAACCAUGAACAACUUUCACUUAGCCACUGUACUAACCACCCAUCCAAUGAAUAAGUGAACAGAGAAAGUCGAUAGUAGAUACAGAGGUAGUUGUGUUAAGUUUUCUGAGGUAAAGAGACAGAGAGCUUGCUUCAUAACCAUCCAUUGGAAAUCUCUUCGAUGUUGAGUUGAUACCUUCCAAACCCUCCUAACUGCCCAAUUAAAUCAGAAAAUUUUUAAGGAGGAACUUAUUGACAAAACAAACUAUUUGGUGCAUAUAUCAUCAAACCAAAAGGGUAGACUUGCAACGGUUGCCCUUCUUCAACAUAACAAAGGAAGUCUCAACAAACUUUUCAUACCUGUAGGAGAAGAUAGAAUAGGAUGGGUAGCUUUUAUAAUUUUAUUACCAACCACCCACCUUCUCCAUCAUUAAAAACUAGUUAUAAACCAGAGCCCCCUCUUCUCCUGAUCAGGAAGGCAACCGUUAAACCAACCACACUUUGCCCCUUCCCCCGCAAUCAUUAAAAAACCCACCAACCUCCUACAAAGCGGCUUUGACUUGUAAGUUAUCUCCUUAUAAUGUAUUGAUAUUUAAAGGAAGAAAUUGCCAUAAGGCAAUACGAAACUCUUCAGCUUAUUUGAGAGGCCUGAUAAACUCUCUUUCCUUAUAACUUUCUAGAAAAGAUAAAACAUGAAAAUUUCUACACCUUCCUUAUUAUACCUAUAUAUGCUGCCUUUUACCCCCAACAUUUCCUUAUAGUGAUCCCACGGGUCCCCUCACCCUCUCUAACUCUCAGAUGGUUUAUUUCCUUUUUUGCCCCUUCUAACGUAAGUAAAAUCUGGGUUCUCACAUAACCACUUAAGUACAGUGUCCUGUAUACAUAAUUGACAUCCAUCAUUUUGUUUUAGAUGUUGGAGACCUAUCCAUCGUCAUUAGUGGACAAUACUUUCACGAUGAUUGGUAUUUGAAGUUAUGUAUGAGAGAAAAAGAAUUUUGUACUUCUUGAGUGAUGAGAAAGACUCAAACUUAUACAAGAGGAUUACCUAUCAUAUGUGCUAGAAAUAAGCUAUCAACCUAAACUUCUGUCAUCAAAUCCCAAAGGUAAGCCAUUUAAAAAUGCAUUCUUUACACCAAGUUGAAAUGGUGGCAAAUCUAGAUUUGUUGCGAUAGAUAGAAGUACCCGAAUAGUAUUUCACUUGGCGUGUAGCAAAGAUUUCCUGAUAGCCAAUCUAGAUUUGUUGCAAUAGAGAUAUGUAACUAUGCUACUUCAAUUUGGGGCUCUUGACUGGAGCUCAAUAUUUCCAUGGCCAUAAUAUGUCUGGUGUAGCUCAAUAGUUGAAGAUGUGUUGUUCCAUUCCCCUUCGAAGACAGCGGAGAGCGUGUGUUGGGGGAAGCUCUCUCUUACAGCCAGCUUCUGUAACCAAAUGGUUUAAUUUCUUCUUUCUUUCUUUUUCUUAACCUUCGGAGACCUUUAUUCUGGGGCGGGGCUCAUUUGACUUGCCAAUGCAUUGCACAGAACUCUCCCUGCCGCCUAUGUUUACUAAACUACUGGUCUAAACCGACUGUUAUGCCCGACCCUGAAAAGAAAUUUAGAUCAUAAGAGAUUUGGGAUCACGUGCAUUGGAAAUGUAAAUAUACUACUAUAAUUUGGGCUCUUUUCUGGAGGGAGACCUUCCAUAUUUCCAUAGUCCCAAUGUUAGGAAUCACGACUCUUCUCAAUAAUAUGAUAUUGUCCACUUUGAGCAUAAGCUCUCGUGGCUUUACUUUGAGCUUCUCCAAAGGGCCUCAUACCAACGAAGAUAUAUUCCUUACUUAUAAAA